rnacentral:rRNA from 1 species
AUUGAACGCUGGCGGCAUGCUUUACACAUGCAAGUCGAACGGUAACAGGCCGCAAGGUGCUGACGAGUGGCGAACGGGUGAGUAAUGCAUCGGAACGUGCCCAGUCGUGGGGGAUAACGCAGCGAAAGCUGCGCUAAUACCGCAUACGAUCUAUGGAUGAAAGCGGGGGACCGUAAGGCCUCGCGCGAUUGGAGCGGCCGAUGUCAGAUUAGGUAGUUGGUGGGGUAAAGGCUCACCAAGCCAACGAUCUGUAGCUGGUCUGAGAGGACGACCAGCCACACUGGGACUGGGCCACGGCCCAGACUCCUACGGGAGGCAGCAGUGGGGAAUUUUGGACAAUGGGCGCAAGCCUGAUCCAGCAAUGCCGCGUGCAGGAAGAAGGCCUUCGGGUUGUAAACUGCUUUUGUACGGAACGAAAAGGCUCUGGUUAAUACCUGGGGCUCAUGACGGUACCGUAAGAAUAAGCACCGGCUAACUACGUGCCAGCCGCCGCAGUAACAC